rnacentral:rRNA from 1 species
GACGAGGGACCCUAGCGUUGUUCGGAAUCAUUGGGCGUAAAAGCGGGUGUAGGAGGCUUUAUAAGUCAGAUGUGAAAGCCCUGGGCUUAACCCAGGAAGUGCAUUUGAUACUGCAAAGCUUGAGUGUUGGAGAGGUUACUGGAAUACCUGGUGUAGUGGUGAAAUACGUAGAUAUCAGGUGGAACACCGGUGGCGAAAGGCGGGUAACUGGCCAAAACACUGACUCUCAAAACCCGAAAGCGUGGG